GAUCAUGGCUCAGGAUGAACGCUAGCGGCAGGCUUAACACAUGCAAGUCGAGGGGCAGCGGGGAGUAGCAAUACUCCGCCGGCGACCGGCGCACGGGUGCGUAACGCGUAUGCAACCUACCUUUAACAGGGGCAUAACACUGAGAAAUUGGUACUAAUACCCCAUAACAUCAUGAAAGGCAUCUUUUAUGGUUGAAAAUUCCGAUGGUUAGAGAUGGGCAUGCGUUGUAUUAG
rnacentral:rRNA from 1 species